rnacentral:lncRNA from 1 species
GGAAUCCCUUCAUCUUCAACUGUGUGUCUAUUGCUUCAUGUAAAAGUCAUACAGUUCUCAUGCGCUGAUUCCCUCAGUUGUGAUGUGGACACAGUGUGAGAACAGCAUCUACCUGGACCAUGUUGCAACACUCAUGACACUUAAGGGGAAAAGAGAAGUAACUUAAAUGAGCCGAUGCUCAUCCUGCUUUUGAAGCCCAACUUUUAUGUGUUCUGCCAGAACCCGUGAGACUGUAAGAGGCUAACUGACUAGCUUGUAAAUAGGGUGGAACCAAGCCCAAAACCUAAUAAAAUUCUGUCAAGGCUCUCUCUCCUUCCUAUCUAUCAAGGCUAUUGUGUGGAAGAUGAUAGCUUUGCCUGAUGUAAGGUUGGAGAUUGAAAUAGAUAUGAUAAUUCAUGAACAAGGCAAUGUGAGAGGUGCCAUAAAGUACAGCUUGAUGAAUUCUUCUAAUUGAGGUCUCAAAUAGUAGCAUGCAUUGCAGAGCUUUUAAAGCCAAACAAAAAAAAAAAAAGAAAAAGAAAAAGAAAAAGAAAAAAGAGAAAAAGAAAAGAAAAGAAAAGAAGCAAAAUAGCAAGAGAUUGCUUUGGGUUGGAAUGCAUACCUUGCAGAAGUGCUAGAAGGAGUGCUGCUGAUGUCAUCCUUCUCUAUGGCUCAGGCUAAUCUUUACAUCUCUGGGAUCAUACAUCUUACCGUAUGGUGUAAUUGGCAGCUUGCAUACCUCCAUUAAACAAUGACAUAAGCCAUGCACACCUUGAAUCCCAGCACUCAGGAGGCAGAGGCAGGUGGAUCUCUGAGUUCGAGGGCAUCCUGGCCUAUAAAGUGAGUUCUAGGACAGCCAAGGCUACACAGAGAAACCCUGUCUUGGAAAACCAAACCAAACCAACCAAAAGCAGUAACAAAAAAGUAAAAUAUUUUAUCAUUUAAAAAUACUUGCUAUGUGUCACCGAAUGCCAAGCAAGAAGGGUAUAAGCAGAUGGAUGGAGGGGGACAUUGAGAAAUAAAGUCUGAAAUGCAUGAUUUGAUGGAUGUGUUUCUGCGACAGAAGGACACAGUCAGGUGUUUUGGUGUCACACUAAGAAAGCUCUUCAAUAGCAGAAUGCAGGGGCAGAUGAAAAGAGCUUCUGUUCAUAAAGGAAUAAAGUGAGGCUGGAAGCUUUGUUUUUCAGUAUUGAACACACACGUCAGCUUCAGCAUGGGUGGGGCCUAAAGGAGGGAACCCCGUUAAAGACACAGAGUCCUCCAGAUCAAAGAUGAUUUUUUCCUUUUUUAAAGAUCCAUGGGAUAUGACUGGAAGCAUUAUGAUCACAGUCCUUCUUGUGGGUCAAAAAGGAAAGGAAAGUCAUCAGUUUAUUACCGAGCACUAGCGAUGACCAGAACAACCUUGACAUUCCCACCCCAUCCCGAGGGCUUGGCAGUGAGCGACAGUCAGAUGGCAGCUCUCUGUGUGUGUGCAUUUAUCAUAGCAGGGGGAAGAGGAGCCUAAGUGAUGGAAAUGCACUUCUUAGCUGCUGCAAAGCUGGCCUCACCCGCAGUUAAGGCAAAGAUGGACGAGUCACCUCCCACUGCAGGGUGCCUCUGUGCCAAGGUCUCAGAACCUUGCCUAUGCUGGAUGCAUGACUCAGGGCUAAGUCAAGCCUUCAGUGUGCAGUAGCUUUGGUGCAGAGAGUUGAAACACUUGCAAGGUUUUUAUGGGUUGAAUUUACCCUGAGGUUAAGGUUGUUUUCUCCAUGGCAACUGCUGACCCUAAUGGAGAGAUAUUUCUCCCUGGAGCUAGGCCACUGCGAGCUCUCUGCUUGCAUUGCUUCCCUCUGCACAGGACCUCUACUGAUGAUAGGGACUGCCUUUCAAGCUGUUCGUGAUGGGAACAUUAGCCUGCAUUUGAUCUUUAUGUUGUCUUUUGUGAUAUGUUCUGGAAUUUAAGGAACUCUUUCCCAGAACAUCAGUAACAGUCAAAACAAUAAGGAGGUUGAAGAAUGCUUGUUCUCCAAACUGCUUACCAGCUUAUCUGUCUUGUACUCCAGCUUUCCUCACAUCUAUUCAGAUCUAUGGCUGUCUGGUGUAUUUCACUCCAGAAAUGAUCCUUUCCUGACCAGCAUCAUAUAUAUAUAAUCUUUUUUUUUACAGUCCAGUCAUUAUACUAUUCAAGAUUCACCAGAUCUGAAAGUUUCUCAUCCCAUUCUUCCUCCCCACUCCCACCCUGCCCUACUCCAGACCUCCCCACUCCCUGGAGCCUCAAGUCUCUCCAACAGUUUGGUGCUUCUUUUCUCACUGAGGACAGACCAGGCAGUCCUCUGCUAUAUACGUGUUGGGAGCUUUUGACCAGCUAGGGUAUGCUGCUUGGUUGGUGGCUCAGUGUCUGAGGGAUCUUAGGGGUCCAGAUUGGUUGAGAAUGCUGGUCUUCCUAUGGGGCUGCCCUCCUCCACAAUCCCUUCCAGCCUUUCCCUAAUUCAACCACAGGGGCCCCAGACUUCCGUCCACUGGUUGGGUGUGAGUAUUUGCAUCUGUCUCUGACAGCUGCUUGUUGGGCCUCUCAGAGGGCAGCCAUGCUAGGCUCCUGCCUGUAAGGACAUCAUAGCGUCUUAGCAAGAAACAUUUAGAACUUUGCAUUGAACGAACUUAAUGUCAUCAGUAAAUCUGCCCACAUCUAGAGUCUACCCUUAACAGUCAGAUGCUUGUCUUGGCAUAUAUCUCUUCACUCAAACUGGACUGUAUUUUGUUUUUUUGUUUGUUUUUGAGAUUGUAUUUUAGUGACUUUUCUCUCUUCUCUUUCCUCCCCUCAAGCCUCCCAUACACCCCAUCCUUGAGUUCCUUCAAAUUAAUGUUCUUUCUCUUUAUUAAUCAAUUGUCAUUACAGACAUAUAUGUAUGUGUACAUUGCUAAAUAUAACCCAUCGAGUCCACAUAAAGUUCCUGUCCUUCAGUUUCUGUCUCCAAAGUUCUAGGAUUAAGAACCAUGCCCGGUUUAAUGGCUUGCUUUUUCUAUAGUAUAACCAGUGAAGACUUCUUGGCAUAAGAAGAAUAAUCCUGCUGGUAGUCUGAGCAAACGAGCCAGGUGUUGUAGACUCAGAAAGGCUUGAAGAAGGCAGAUGUGAAGAGCAAAUGCAAGUGGACCAUUCUGACGUUAUAUUUAAGAUGAGGACACAGAGAGGUCAGUAGGAAGCUGUGUGCUUGGUUAACUCAAUCUUAAUAAGACUUGUCAAUAUGUUGGGACUGAUGGAUUGCCUUUCCGAUAGGAACUGAGUCCUUGGCUCAUCAUAGAGCUACAUACAGAAACCCAUCCUUGUCAGUGACCUGCUGCAUGCUAGGUCCCUUUAACUUUACAGUGAAGCAGGAAGACAGCUUCAGUUUCUGAACUGGACCCGGGUGGUAAGCUGAUUCCGUUCCCCUGUAAGCUAGCUGAACAAACGGCAACUGCCUCUCCAUUCUUUUCAAGCUAGCAUGGGAGGAAGCGAGUGAACACGGGCCUGCAGACUUCCCUACGUGGUCACACACACGAGAC